CACGUAGGGGGCGAGCGUUGUCCGGAUUUAUUGGGCGUAAAGAGCUCGUAGGCGGUUCGGCAAGUCGGGUGUGAAAUUUCGAGGCUCAACCUCGAAACGCCACUCGAUACUGCUGUGACUGGAGUCCGGUAGAGGAGUGCGGAAUUCCUGGUGUAAGCGGUGAAAUGCGCAGAUAUCAGGAGGAACACCAACGGCGAAGGCAGCACUCUGGGCCGGUACUGACGCUGAGGAGCGAAAGCGUGGGGAGCAAACAGG
rnacentral:rRNA from 1 species